CCUGGGUAGAAUAGCAAGACCUCACUGAAAGCUCGUUGGUGCAUACCUGUGACUCCAGUACUUUGGAAGCAGAGGCAGGAGGAUGGCAGCCUUGCUGGGUCCCAUGAAGACAGGAUCUUUGUCUUUUUGAGUCAGCCUCUACACCUUCAUCUGUUGGGUGAAUGAAGAGACAAACACAUACCUGUUCAAUGACACUGGUCUCCGUGAAAUGUGAGGUAUGACAAUCCUUAAAGAUGUUUUUGGAAAAUUUGAAGAAUGCGG
ensembl:lncRNA LOC120100068 uncharacterized LOC120100068